rnacentral:rRNA from 1 species
UACGUAGGUGGCAAGCGUUGUCCGGAUUUAUUGGGUUUAAAGGGUGCGUAGGCGGCGCUUUAAGUCAGUGCUGAAAUACUCUAGCUUAACUAGAGGGGUGGCAUUGAUACUGAGGUGCUUGAGUGGAGUCGAGGUAGGCGGAAUUGACGGUGUAGCGGUGAAAUGCUUAGAUAUCGUCAAGAACACCGAUAGUGUAGACAGCUUACUAGGCUUCAACUGACGCUGAGGCACGAAAGUGUGGGGAUCAAACAGGAUUAGAAACCCUGGUAGUCC